rnacentral:misc_RNA from 1 species
UUAGCAUUAAAGACACGCCCAUUGUAACUCUCUCUUUCUCUCUCUGUCUGUCUUUCUCUUCUUCUUACUUUCAUUGCUUAGAGCUUCUGUUUCUGGGUUCUUUCAACUAACUCCUGGAGUUUUUCUCAAGGGUUUAACUAAAGAAAGAAAAAAUUGGUUUGCUUAAAUUUUUGGAAACUACCUUUCUUUUUACCUCAUUUUCGUUGAUUGUUUUCCUUAAACAAUUUUUUACUCACAUUCAUUAAUUUCUUUAGAUUGGGUUUGAUUUACCAAAACUAGUAGUAUUUUGGAUUUUUUUUAAUGUUUUUAUUGUAUGUAUAAGUAUGGAAUUCGAUGCUGGAGUCUUUUUGUUGUUUAGAUUUCCAACUUUUUUUUUUGUUAUGGUCAUGUUUAAAACCGUGAUUUGGUGUAUUUGAAGAAUCUUAGAUCCAUGGCAUUAUUUGCCUUUCUAUUCUUUUUAUUCUCUGUUGAUUUUCUAUUUGGUUGGCAAGAAAAUUGAGGGAAAUGGUAAAGAACUCAAAAGUCAGAGUCCUGGGUAAAUUUCUUGUUUUGUUCUCCAAAUUUGAGA